rnacentral:lncRNA from 1 species
AUGACACAGCAGAGGGCCGCCCGCCUCCAGUGUGAACAGACCCGACCACCCUCCGCAGCGCAUCGACUCAGUCCCGAGCCGCCUCCGUCCUGGAGCUCUGCUGCCCCUCUGCACCUAAAGGCCUCCGCCUUAGCUUACGGUCUCCUCGCCGCCAUCCGGACCGCGGUGUGGCGGGCUGGUUGGUCUCUCUACACACGAGGCCCUCUUACGUCUGUUUUCUCCUUGGCAGCCGGGGUGAUUCUUUCUCACAUGCAGAUCUGAACUGCCCCUCUGCCGAAAAGCCUGUGGUGAUUUCUUGCACUCGCGCCCGAGGCCCCACUGGCUUCCCCGCGCCUGCAUCUCAGCUCCUUUGCUUCGGCUCCCGCCACACCGAGCUGCCCGCAGACGCGGACUCUCCGCAUGCCCGGGGACUCGCGCGGACUGCUCCCCGCCUCCUUCCCACCUCGGGUUCCUCCCAUGUAACCCUAGUCCUUCGUGCUCUGCCCUAUGUUCUCUCUGGUGGAGCUUUCCCUGACUCCAAGUCCCUAUCAUAGCGCUUGUAAAACUAUUUUUUAAAACAUUACUGUACUUUUAAAAACAUUACUGUACUUUUAAAAACAUUACUGUGUUUACCUUUAUCUCCUCUAUCUCCCUCACUAACCUGCGAACCUUUGGAAGGCAGACGGUGCCUCAUCUACCCACUGGACCGGAGGAGGCCUGGGCACUGGGAAGAGAGUGGAGUAGGAUGCAGAGGUCUCAUUUUUUUUCCAGCUGCAGAAUAGAGAUUGCAAACUGGGU